rnacentral:rRNA from 1 species
AACGAACGCUGGCGGCAGGCUUAACACAUGCAAGUCGAGCGCGUGUAGCAAUACACGAGCGGCGCACGGGUGAGUAACGCGUGGAUAUCUGCCUUUUGGUUCGGAAUAACCCCGGGAAACUGGGGCUAAUACCGAAUGGUUCCUACGGGAUAAAGAUUUAUCGCCAAAAGAUGAGUCCGCGUCCGAUUAGCUAGUUGGUGAGGUAACGGCUCACCAAGGCGACGAUCGGUAGCUGGUCUGAGAGGACGAUCAGCCACACUGGGACUGAGACACGGCCCAGACUCCUACGGGAGGCAGCAGUGGGGAAUAUUGGACAAUGGGCGCAAGCCUGAUCCAGCCAUGCCGCGUGAGUGAUGAAGGCCUUAGGGUUGUAAAGCUCUUUCGCUAGGGAAGAUAAUGACGGUACCUAGAGAAGAAGCCCCGGCUAACUUCGUGCCAGCAGCCGCCGUAAUAC